rnacentral:rRNA from 1 species
GUGUGAUAUGCUGUUUGAUACCAUUUAGUGGAUAGCUUGGCUUGGGUAGAAUUAGCGCCCUGGCAAGCUGGGAAAAGCUCAGGGGAGGAGCAUGCAUCCUUAGAUCCUGAGAUCGCGCUAAUCCCUGUGAUGGGUAUAUACGCCGAGAAUUAAAACAUUCUAGUAUCGGCAGGAAAAGAAAUCAAAUUGAGAUUUGGUGAGUAACGGUGAGUGAAAACCAAAGAGCACAGACCGAAUCCCAAGCUGGUAACAGCUGGGAGAUGUAGGGUCAAUAAACCAAACCUAGGAGCAUAAUUAGCUGGAAAGCUAAGCCAAAGAGGGUGAUAGCCCCGUGUGCGAACUAAGUUUGGUUUAAAGACCAAAUAAAGAGUACUGUCCAUUGAGUAUUGGGCAGGAAGAUGGGAGAAUCAACUUCCAAUGCUAAAUAUAACCCAAGACCGAUAGCGAACUAGUACCGCGAGGGAAAGCUGAAAAGCACUCCUAAACGGAGAGUGAAAAGAACUUAAAACUAAAUGGUAUCAGUUUGAUAUGGCAUUAAAGGAUAACUACUUUAAAAGUUGCUAAUCGUGAGGUUAGCAGCGAUAGAGUAGUCCGGUGUCAUAUCGUCCUUCUCGAAGCAAGGGCCAGGGAGUUUAAGGGCGUGGCAAGGCUAGCGCCGAAGCGAAAGCAAGCGGGUUUAACCCCUCGUCAGAAAUGGCGAGCAGUCACUCCCUUAAGACCCGAAGCCAAUGUGAACUACGCGUGGGCAGGUCGAAGUCCGCCUGAAGGUGGAUGGAGGACCGCAACCAGUGCUAGUAUAUUCUGCUUGGGUGACCCACGGGUAGGGGUGAUAGUCCAAUCGAACUUGGCAAUAGCGGGUUCCCCUCGAAGUAUAUCUCAGUAUAGCCUCUUUGGAGGUAGGUUAUAGGGUAGGGCACUGAUUAUCAAGAACGGGGUCGAAAGGCCUCACUUGAUCGUCAAACCUCGAAUCUAUAACCACCGAAGAAAAAGGGAGUCGGGUUCCGUUGGGUAAGCUAGCGGGCCGUUACGGGAACGACCGUACCUGGGGUUAAGGCCCCAAAAUCUAGGUUAAGUGUCAAUCGCAAAGAAGGUUAUAUCCUAAAACAGCUGGAAGGUAGGCUUAGAAGCAGCCAUCCUUUAAACAACGCGUAAUAGCGGACCAGUCUAGGGUAUAACUUUCCAAGAGGCUCGGGACUAAGCCUAGUGCCGAUACCCCAGAGUUUGCAUCUUUUGAUGCAAAGCUAGUAGGGGGGCGAGCUGGUUUGGCAGAAGUAGGGGCGUAAGUUCCUAUGGACAAACCAGUUAUGAAUAUCCUGGUAUUAGUAACAGCAUAUCCAGGUGAAAAUCCUGGACGCCGCAUAGCACACGGUUUUCUAGGAGAUGUUCGUCAGCCUAGAGUUAGGCGGUCCUAAGCAUAAAGGUAAUUCCUCUUAUGCAAAAGGGAAACCGGUUAAUAUUCCGGUCCUAGCCAAGUAGAAGCGGUAACGCAAGUUCUGCUUUUGACGGCUUGGGAUAGGAUAAGCAAGGGCAACCUUGUCUAACUAAAAUAGUACCAUGAAGACUGAUUGUCAGGAGCAGUGGUACAAUUUUAGGAAUGCGUAAGUUAUCUGAUUCCUGGGCCCCAUGAAAAGAAAGCAGAAAGCGAUCUUGGCUAACCGUACCUAGAACUAGUACAGGUGCUGCUGGCUGAACAAGCCAAGGCGUGUCAGGGAAACUUAGCAUAGGGAACUCGGCAAGUUGGCCGCGUAACUUAGGGAGAAGCGGUGCCUGCAGAUGUUAAAAGCAUCAGCAGGUCGCAGUGUCAAGGGGAGAGCGACUGUUUAUCAAAAACACAACUCGCAGCUAACCAGAAAUGGUAUGUAUUGCGGGUGACGCCUGCUCACUACCGGUACGUGAACUCCUGUUCCAACGGGAAUAAGCGCCGGCAAAGAGCGGGGGUAACUCUGACCCUCUUGAGGUAGCGUAAUACCUCGCCGCUUAAUUGGUGGCUUGCAUGAAGGGCGUAACGACUCUCCCACUGUCCCAUGCUAGGACCUGGUGAACCUACUACACUGUGAGUAUGCAGUGGAUUUCCAGGGGGAAACGAAGACCCCGUGGAGCUUUACUAUAGUCUGAUGUUGCGAUAUAGGACGAUUAACAUAGAGUAAAUGGGAGCUGCUUAAAGCCAAGGCUUUUGGGCUUUGGUGAGGCGAAAGUGUAACACCAUUUUAAUUGUCUUGUAUUGCUUAUACUCUUUUAGAGUAAACAGCAUCAGAUGGAUAGUUUGGCUGGGGCGGUACACCCUCGAUAAAAAAACAAGGGUGCCCAAUGCUUAGCUUAAGUGCGUCAGAAAUGCACUGUUAAGGGUCAAAGACAAAUGCUAGGCUGACUGUUCUCCUAAUAGCGUGGGGAGCAGAGGCGAAAGCCGGGCUUAGCGAACCUUGGUAGCCUUUUGAUGGGGCUCCAAGCUGUCAGACAAGCUACCCCGGGGGUAACAGGCUCGUCGCGGGCGAGAGUACACAUCGACCCCGCGGUUUGGUACAUCGCUGUCGGCUUAGGACAUCCUGGUGGUGUAGGAGCCACCAAGGGUUGGGUUGUUCAUCCAUUAAAGUCCUACAUGAGCUGGGUUCAGUACGUCGCGAGACAGUACGGUAGUAUCUCCUGGAAAUGCAUCCUGACUGAGAGUAAGUACCCAUGAGUACGAGAGGAACACGGGUGCGGCGCCUCUGGUGUACCGGUUGUGUUUUAGCAUCGCCGGGCAGCUACGCGCUACCUGAUAAGACCUGAAAGCAUCUAAGGUCGAAGCAGGUCUCAAAACGAGUCAGGUUAAUGGGCGGAUAGCAGAUCCGUUUGAUAGGGCAGAAGUGUAAGUCGCAAGCCAAAAGCGAGCGAUUCAGCUUGCUGCUACUAAACCAAAAUAUCACACUU